rnacentral:rRNA from 1 species
UAGCAAGAUUAACUUUUUUAUUAAUUUUCUCGAAGCCUAGGGAGUUACUUUAUUACUGUUUUUAGAUAGAAAAUGUAAAUGUAGCAAAAUUUUAUUCAUAUUAUAAAGUAGAAAUGAAAUUUUUUUCGUAUUAGGGGAUAGCUAGUUUCGACAGAAAUAUAUUUACGUGUAGGUAAUCAGGUAGGAGACUAAGCUAUGGAUAGCUUGGGUAAUUUACUGAUUUUUCUGGCUCCUAGAAGGGUAAGCUUAUAGGGGAAAAAUUGUAGUCUAAGGUAAAAAGUUUACUAGCAUCUAAGCUUGAAAUUAGCUAAGAUUAGAAGCUUGUUUUAAAGUAUUAAUAUACCAUUGUGCAUUGCUUAAGUUAGGUUGAUUAAUAUCUAAGCUAAGAGGUGUUAUGUUUAUGCUAAAAUGAGUAUUUUGUAGAUAAUUUAAGAACUAAAGUUGAUUGUUUAAUCAGAAAUAAUACGUUAAUUUAAAAAUGUGAAAAAGGAACUCGGCAUCUAUGUUUCGCCUGUUUAGCAAAAACAUGGUUCUUUG